rnacentral:rRNA from 1 species
AACUGCGAGUGAAGCGGGAAAAGCUCAAAUUUAAAAUCUGUCGGUCUUUGGCCGUCCGAGUUGUAAUUUAGAGAAGCGUCUUCCGCGCCGGACCGUGCACAAGUCUCCUGGAAUGGAGCGUCAUAGAGGGUGAGAAUCCCGUCUUUGGCAUGGAUCCCCCGGUGCUUCUGUGAUGCGCUCUCRAAGAGUCGAGUUGUUUGGGAAUGCAGCUCAAAAUGGGUGGUGAACUCCAUCUAAAGCUAAAUAUUGGCGAGAGACCGAUAGCGAACAAGUACCGUGAGGGAAAGAUGAAAAGCACUUUGGAAAGAGAGUGAAACAGUACGUGAAAUUGUUGAAAGGGAAACGCUUGAAGUCAGUCGCGUCGACCGAGACUCAGCCUUGCCUUGGCUUGGUGUACUUCUCGGACCGACGGGUCAGCAUCAAUUUUGCUCCUCGGAUAAUGGCAAGGGAAAGGUGGCACCUUUACGGGUGUGUUAUAGUCUCCUGUCGCAUGCGAGGGGUGGGAUUGAGGAACUCAGCGYGCACCUUGGUGUCGGGGCUUCU